AGUGAACGCUGGCGGUAGGCCUAACACAUGCAAGUCGAACGGCAGCACAGUAAGAGCUUGCUCUUACGGGUGGCGACUGGCGGACGGGUGAGGAAUACAUCGGAAUCUACUUUUUCGUGGGGGAUAACGUAGGGAAACUUACGCUAAUACCGCAUACGACCUACGGGUGAAAGCAGAGGCUCUUCGGACCUUGCGCGAUCGAAUGAGCCGCUGUCGGAUUAGCUAGUUGGCGGGGUAAAGGCCCACCAAGGCGACGCUCCGUAGCUGGUCUGAGAGGAUGAUCAGCCACACUGGAACUGAGACACGGUCCAGACUCCUACGGGAGGCAGCAGUGGGGAAUAUUGGGCAAUGGGCGGAAGCCUGAUCCAGCCAUACCGCGUGAGUGAAGAAGGGCUUCGGGUUGUAAAGCACUGUUGUUGGGGAAGAAAAACAGCAUGUUAAUACCCCGCUGUCCUGACGGUACCUAAAGAAUAAGCCCCGGCUAACUACGUG
rnacentral:rRNA from 1 species